rnacentral:rRNA from 1 species
UACGUAGGGAGCGAGCGUUGUCCGGAAUUACUGGGUGUAAAGGGAGCGUAGGCGGGGCUUUAAGUCAGGUGUGAAAACUACGGGCUCAACUCGUAGACUGCACUUGAAACUGAGGCUCUUGAGUGGAGCAGAGGCAGGCGGAAUUCCCGGUGUAGCGGUGAAAUGCGUAGAUAUCGGGAGGAACAUCAGUGGCGAAGGCGGCCUGCUGGGCUUUUACUGACGCUGAGGCUCGAAAGCGUGGGGAGCAA